AGGAACGGGCAAAUUGAGACUACUCAGGGAAACAUCCAAUCCAUUCUGUGCACAUGCCACAAGUCGUAAAGCUACAAAAAACUCCUGUUUGUUCAAGAUUCCUUUGCUAUCAGUAUCAGCUAAGUCCCAAAUCUUUCCAAGUACCAAGUCUGUCAAUCCAGAUUUCUUCAAGAAAACAGCUGCAUCAGAAGCUAACACUCUUCCAGUAUUAGCAGAAUCAACCUGUCGAUAGAACUUCUCAUACACAGGGUUUGCACUUGAUAGCUGUGUCAGGGAGAGGUGGGCGGCCAUGCUGCUUCCAUCAUGCACCGGCCGGGCCGCAGGAAGGACGCGCCGCGACCCAGCACUCGCUGCCCAACUUCGGCAACUUCCCCG
rnacentral:lncRNA from 1 species